GUUUUCGUCGUCCUCGUCGUCGCCCCGCACGCUUGGAAAUGGGCCAAGCCCAUAUCCCACGUAACCCUCUAUGCCUUCGGCUCAGUCCACCAACAUCAAUCACCAUCAUUGUUUCCUCCGCCAUCAUCGCGCUGGAACAGGGGCUGCCGCAGGUCGGCGUACUCUCUUCUCGCGCUCUCUUUCUUCAUCCGGCCGAUCUGUGAUGAGUGAUGACGAAGGCUGCCGCCUCCACCUUGCCACGAUCUCGCCGUGCUCCGCCAGUGUGUUGCUGGCCUUCGCCGGCGUACCGCACGCGGUCGCCCUCCGUCGCCGUGCCCCCUGCCCACCAUCUCUCCUUCAUGGAUCACCCAUCCCGCGCCGACCUCCUCAAGGUGAGUAGACGAGGGGGCGAGUCGGCAACGUCGCUCCGCGAUUGAGGCUAUCGACAUGGGCAGAGGGACGGUUGUGGAGAUGGAGAUGGCUCUGUGGUGGUGGCCCUGGUGAGAGCAUUGGCAGCCGGCUCAAUACUAUGAAUUUACUGCUUGGGCUCCAAUUUGGAGAGUGCAGCUUCGUAAUUGUCAUCAGCAUCGUAAGGGAGACAAAGGACAGUAAUCAUGUGAAGCUAUGGACUACUAUGGAUAUUGGUCACUUACCAGGAAUCAGCUUUUCUUUAUGAUGAGAAAUUAUCAUCAGCAUCUAACAAACAAUAGGACGGGAACAAAAUAAUCAUCAGUUUAGAAGAAAUAAUUGAAGUAGUGCCGAGGAAAACACAAAUAAGAAAUAAUUGGAAUAUUGGAAAGGAAAUCACGAAGGUAUGUAUUUAUUUGUCCUGUACUGUUGAGUUCUCACACAUGUGUGUUAGUUAGUUGAUAUUUGUUCAGGACCAUGAAGACUCCAAUGUUGUAGUUAAUCAACGCAAUGGCAAAUGCCAAUUGCAGGGGUUAGCAAGCAACCAAUAUAUGCUCUCAGUAAUAUGCUUUCAGCUCAAGUAUCAUUUUUCCUGGAUUUGUUACAUCUGCUUUCAGCUUCAGAGUAAUUUGGAUAAUCGACACAACCAUGUAUUUUUCUUUGUCUCACGGGACUUCAAAAUGCUAGCAGGUGUUAUACGAAGCAAGCUGCUGCGAUAAAGAAGCUGACCUCACAAUCAAAGGCAAGAUCGAUGUGUAUAUUUCCUUUGGGAACAUGGAGCUGCCCAUAACAAAGUGGGUGGAAUCACUCGCCUCAAGGAAACAAUAUGAGGUAUUGAUUAUAUGCCGCUAUCUGUUGAUUAUUAGAUUCUCAUUAUUUACUAUCUAGGCCAGUGUAGCCUUGUCUUGACUUGGAUGAAUGACAAUAGAAGGAGUACCAGUUAGGACCAAUCAUUUACACAUAGAUCUCGCCGUGCAGAUGUAAAGAACGAAGGUGUUCCUUAUUCUGCCCAGCAUGUCAAUACGUCAAACGUUUUCGUCGUCCUCGUCGUCGCCCCGCACGCUUGGAAAUGGGCCAAGCCCAUAUCCCACGUAACCCUCUAUGCCUUCGGCUCAGUCCACCAACAUCAAUCACCAUCAUUGUUUCCUCCGCCAUCAUCGCGCUGGAACAGGGGCUGCCGCAGGUCGGCGUACUCUCUUCUCGCGCUCUCUUUCUUCAUCCGGCCGAUCUGUGAUGAGUGAUGACGAAGGCUGCCGCCUCCACCUUGCCACGAUCUCGCCGUGCUCCGCCAGUGUGUUGCUGGCCUUCGCCGGCGUACCGCACGCGGUCGCCCUCCGUCGCCGUGCCCCCUGCCCACCAUCUCUCCUUCAUGGAUCACCCAAGGAAACAAUAUGAGGUAUUGAUUAUAUGCCGCUAUCUGUUGAUUAUUAGAUUCUCAUUAUUUACUAUCUAGGCCAGUGUAGCCUUGUCUUGACUUGGAUGAAUGACAAUAGAAGGAGUACCAGUUAGGACCAAUCAUUUACACAUAGAUGUAUGUGUACAUGGGUGUAAUAGCUGAAUUAAUAUGCCUUUUCUGAAUUGUGGAUGCAGUAGUUCACGCCAAUGAAUAUUGCAUUGCAGUUCUAUUCACUUCUAAUGCAUCUAUUAUUCCUAGAAAAAAAAUCUAGACCAAUUUCGUUGUCCUAAAAUAACUAGAUCACUAUAACAAGAAACGUCUGUAUUUAUUUGUUAAACUGAAAUUCGCCUUUGCGAAUGGCGGAUACAUUUUCUCAUUUGCCAAUGUUCCAUCUAGAUUUUUUUGGAGUU